UGCAAUAGCGCAUAGUUAAUAAAAAGCUUUUGUUCACAGGACUGGAACAGCAUUACAAAAAACAUUACAACUUGAGACUCUGCAAGAAAUUAACAUAGAGGAUACAGUUCAUGACUGUAAUAUCCCAGAAGCAACUGACCGACCUUUGACAAGCAAGAAAGGUCUUCCUCGACGCUACAAGCUAAGGCCUGAGGAUCCAAGGCGUUAUGGUUUGCUGUCCGGAGUUCCUGCACCAUCAACAGAGGAACUUCUACAACACCUACGGACUUGCGGUGAUGGUAAAACUUUGCCACAGACAUAGGUGUUGGGGGAGGCAAGAGAAAACCCAAAACCUUCUUUAUUUUUGUUUCCUGUGUUUUUUUUUUUUUUUU